AAAAAAAAUAAAUAUUAAAAAUAAUUAUAAAAUUUUAAAGUUUUAGUAUUUUAUAAAGAAAAAAUAAUUUUAAUAAUAGUUUAUUAGUAUUGUAAAAUAAAAUUGAAAUAUAUUGAAAAAUUUUUAUUUUAAAAGAAAAUUUUAUUUAUUGUAUCUUGUGUAUCAGAGUAUAUUAAAUAAAAAAUAUUUAUAUAUUUUUCUCGAUUUUAAAAGAUUUAAUAAAUUAUAAAUGUUAAUGUAAUAAAAUUAUAUUCAAUAAUUUAUUAGAAAUGAAAUGUUAUUCGUUUUUAAAGGUAUCUAGUUUUUUAAGAAAUAAAUUUAAUUUAAUAUUCAAAAUUUACUUAUUUAUUUUAUUAAUUAAGUAAUUUUUGAAAAUUAAUAUUCUAUGGGAUAAGCUAUAGAAUAAAUUUUUAUAAAUAAUAAAUAAUGUUUAAAAUUUAAUAUGUUUAAAAGUAUCAAUUUUUAUUAAGUUUGUUAUAAAUUAAUUUUUUUAAUAAAUUAUUUAUUAUAUUUUAAGUUUUUAUUAAAAUAUUUAUUUAAAUUUUAAAAAUAAAGAAAUAAUGAUAUAAUUAGUAUAUUUUUUUGUAAUAAUAUAUUUAAAAAUGAAAAGUUUAUGUAAAGAAUUCGGCAAAAAUAAUGUUCGCCUGUUUAACAAAAACAUGUCUUUUAGAAAUUAAUUUAAAGUCUGACCUGCCCACUGAAUUUAUUUUAAAUGGCCGCAGUAUAUUAACUGUGCAAAGGUAGCAUAAUCAUUAGUCUUUUAAUUGAAGGCUGGAAUGAAUGGUUGGACGAAAUAUUAACUGUUUCAUUUAAAUUUAUAAUAAAAUUUUAUUUUUUAGUCAAAAAGCUAAAAUAAAUUUAAAAGACGAGAAGACCCUAUGAAUCUUUAUAUAAAGUAUAUUUUAAUUUUGUAGAUUAUUUUAAUUAUAAUAUUAUUUUUAUAUUUUAUUGGGGUGAUAUUAAAAUUUAAAUAACUUUUAAGCUUUAAAUCAUUGAUUUAUGAAUAAAUGAUCCAUUUUUAAUGAUUAAAAAUUUAAGUUACUCUAGGGAUAACAGCGUAAUUUUUUUGGAGAGUUCAUAUCGAUAAAAAAGAUUGCGACCUCGAUGUUGGAUUAAGAAAUAGUUUUAGGUGUAGCCGUUUAAAUUUAAAGUCUGUUCGACUUUUAAAAUCUUACAUGAUCUGAGUUCAAACCGGCGUGAGCCAGGUUGGUUUCUAUCUUUAAUUAAUUAAUAUAUUUUAGUACGAAAGGAUUGAAUAUAUGAAUAAUUUUAUUUUAUAGAUAAAGAAUA
rnacentral:rRNA from 1 species